CCCCAACGCCUCGCGGUUCUGCUCCGGGUUCUACCCGUCCACCAGCCUAUUAAUAGGCAACAUAUUUACUUUUUGCAGCAUGCACUCGCUGUGGCAUUCUCCAGCAUCUUACCCUACAACAGGAGCGAACAAGUGCAGUUCUACAAGAGGAAGUCACCGCUGCGGCAGAGGUGUUGUGGCACCCAGGGGUGCCCGGCCCCCGUCUCCAUCUCCUACGGGUGGUCAUAUGUGGAUAUAUCUGGACCGUAUGCUAUAACAGACACCUGGGCCUAAAUUUAGUAACAGUGAAAAUGCAAUUAGUUCUGCAAAUACCAAGAAAUCUGCCAGCAUCAAAACCUGGAGGGAGAAGAGUCUAUUUAUGCCUCUGCUUUUGGCUGGCGCAGAGGUGAUCAGACUGUCUAAGAUGCAGCAGUAACAGCACCUGAGGCUCCGUCUGGGUGCCAAUGUCUUUGUCAAAACCCUCCUGCCCACCUUGUACCAGUCCUGUGUCCAACGACAAACACAUGUAAUAUGGGAAUUCAUCCAGUUCUGUACAGAAACUCUUAAGAGAUUGAAACAAGUACUUGUGCAUUUAGAACUACAGCCUAGCAAUUUCGAAAGUCUCAGCAUAAUGGAGUUUCAAAAUGACAGAGGCUUUUGAGGCCUAAAUUCUGAUGAUAACAAGCUGUGGCACAAAAAAGCACUAAUUGCUAUAUGAUUAAGCAGAAAAAAAGGUUACAGUGUUAAGGA